CAUGCAAGUCGAACGGCAGCACGGGAGCAAUCCUGGUGGUGAGUGGCGAACGGGUGAGUAAUAUAUCGGAACGUGCCCAGUCGUGGGGGGAUAACGUAGCGAAAGCUACGUUAAUACCGCAUACGAUCUAUGGAUGAAAGCGGGGGAUCGCAAGACCUCGCGCGAUUGGAGCGGCCGAUAUCAGAUUAGGUAGUUGGUGAGGUAAAGGCUCACCAAGCCGACGAUCUGUAGCUGGUCUGAGAGGACGACCAGCCACACUGGGACUGAGACACGGCCCAGACUCCUACGGGAGGCAGCAGUGGGGAAUUUUGGACAAUGGGCGCAAGCCUGAUCCAGCAAUGCCGCGUGCAGGAUGAAGGCCUUCGGGUUGUAAACUGCUUUUGUACGGAACGAAACGGUGAGCUCUAAUACAGUUUGCUAAUGACGGUACCGUAAGAAUAAGCACCGGCUAACUACGUG
rnacentral:rRNA from 1 species